rnacentral:rRNA from 1 species
GUACCUAACAAGAAAGCACCGGCUAACUACGUGCCAGCAGCCGCGGUAAAACGUAGGGUGCAAGCGUUGCCCGGAAUUACUGGGUGUAAAGGGAGCGCAGGCGGGAAGACAAGUUGGAAGUGAAAACCAUGGGCUCAACCCAUGAAUUGCUUUCAAAACUGUUUUUCUUGAGUAGUGCAGAGGUAGAUGGAAUUCCCGGUGUAGCGGUGGAAUGCGUAGAUAUCGGGAGGAACACCAGUGGCGAAGGCGGUCUACUGGGCACCAACUGACGCUGAGGCUCGAAAGCAUGGGUAGCAAACAGGAUUAGAUACCCUGGUAGUCCAUGCCGUAAACGAUGAUUAUUAGGUGUUGGGGGAUUGACCCCCUCAGUGCCGCAGUUAACACAAUAAGUCAUCCACCUGGGGA